GAAAUGCGAUAAGUAAUGUGAAUUGCAGAAUUCCGUGAAUCAUCGAAUCUUUGAACGCACAUUGCGCCCUCUGGUAUUCCGGAGGGCAUGCCUGUCCGAGCGUCAUUUCAACCCCUCAAGCCCGGCUUGCGUCAUGGGUCUCGUCCGCCGAUGGACGUGCCCGAAAGGCAGUGACCGCGGCCGCGAAUCCGGCGCCUUAGCGAAUGGGACAACCACCGCUGCAGAGGCCCGGCCGGCCGUCCGGUCUCCAUCCUCGUGCCCCCCGGGCAUGGGGAACCCCCCAUCAGGUUGACCUCGGAUCAGGUAGGGAUACCCGCUGAACUUAA
rnacentral:misc_RNA from 1 species